GACGGACGCUGUCGGCGUGCUUAACACAUGCAAGUCGAACGGAAAGGCCCUGCUUUUGUGGGGUGCUCGAGUGGCGAACGGGUGAGUAACACGUGAGUAACCUGCCCUUGACUUUGGGAUAACUUCAGGAAACUGGGGCUAAUACCGGAUAGGAGCUCCUGCUGCAUGGUGGGGGUUGGAAAGUUUCGGCGGUUGGGGAUGGACUCGCGGCUUAUCAGCUUGUUGGUGGGGUAGUGGCUUACCAAGGCUUUGACGGGUAGCCGGCCUGAGAGGGUGACCGGCCACAUUGGGACUGAGAUACGGCCCAGACUCCUACGGGAGGCAGCAGUGGGGAAUAUUGCACAAUGGGCGGAAGCCUGAUGCAGCAACGCUGCGUGCGGGAUGACGGCCUUCGGGUUGUAAACCGCUUUCGCCUGUGACGAAGCGUGAGUGACGGUAAUGGGUAAAGAAGCACCGGCUAACUACGUGCCAGCAGCCGCGGUGAUACGUAGGGUGCGAGCGUUGUCCGGAUUUAUUGGGCGUAAAGGGCUCGUAGGUGGUUGAUCGCGUCGGAAGUGUAAUCUUGGGGCUUAACCCUGAGCGUGCUUUCGAUACGGGUUGACUUGAGGAAGGUAGGGGAGAAUGGAAUUCCUGGUGGAGCGGUGGAAUGCGCAGAUAUCAGGAGGAACACCAGUGGCGAAGGCGGUUCUCUGGGCCUUUCCUGACGCUGAGGAGCGAAAGCGUGGGGAGCGAACAGGCUUAGAUACCCUGGUAGUCCACGCUGUAAACGGUGGGUACUAGGUGUGGGGUCCAUUCCACGGGUUCCGUGCCGUAGCUAACGCUUUAAGUACCCCGCCUGGGGAGUACGGCCGCAAGGCUAAAACUCAAAGGAAUUGACGGGGCCCCGCACAAGCGGCGGAGCAUGCGGAUUAAUUCGAUGCAACGCGUAGAACCUUACCUGGGUUUGACAUGGAUCGGGAGUGCUCAGAGAUGGGUGUGCCUCUUUUGGGGUCGGUUCACAGGUGGUGCAUGGCUGUCGUCAGCUCGUGUCGUGAGAUGUUGGGUUAAGUCCCGCAACGAGCGCAACCCUUGUUCACUGUUGCCAGCACGUUAUGGUGGGGACUCAGUGGAGACCGCCGGGGUCAACUCGGAGGAAGGUGGGGAUGACGUCAAGUCAUCAUGCCCCUUAUGUCCAGGGCUUCACGCAUGCUACAAUGGCUGGUACAGAGAGUGGCGAGCCUGUGAGGGUGAGCGAAUCUCGGAAAGCCGGUCUCAGUUCGGAUUGGGGUCUGCAACUCGACCUCAUGAAGUCGGAGUCGCUAGUAAUCGCAGAUCAGCAACGCUGCGGUGAAUACGUUCCCGGGGCU
rnacentral:rRNA from 1 species